rnacentral:misc_RNA from 1 species
GAUGAAGAACGUAGCGAAAUGCGAUACGUAAUGUGAAUUGCAAAUUCAGUGAAUCAUCGAGUCUUUGAACGCACAUUGCGCCCCCUGGUAUUCCGGGGGGCAUGCCUGUCCGAGCGUCAUUACAACCCUCAAGCUCAGCUUGGUGUUGGGCCCCGCCGCCCCGGCGGGCCCUAAAGUCAGUGGCGGUGCCGUCCGGCUCCGAGCGUAGUAAUUCUUCUCGCUCUGGAGGUCCGGUCGUGUGCUCGCCAGCAACCCCCAAUUUUUUUCAGGUUGACCUCGGAUCAGGUAGGGAUACCCGCUGAACUUAAGCAUAUCAAUAAGCGGAGGA